AGAGUUUGAUCCUGGCUCAGGACGAACGCUGGCGGCGUGCUUAACACAUGCAAGUCGAGCGGUAAGGCACUUCGGUGUACACGAGCGGCGAACGGGUGAGUAACACGUGAGUAAUCUGCCCUUCACUCUGGGAUAAGCACUCGAAAGGGUGUCUAAUACCGGAUACGACACGGUCUUGCAUGAGAUCCGUGUGGAAACUUUUAUGGGUGGGGGAUGUGCUCGCGGCCUAUCAGCUUGUUGGUGGGGUAAUGGCCUACCAAGGCUUCGACGGGUAGCCGGCCUGAGAGGGUGACCGGCCACACUGGGACUGAGACACGGCCCAGACUCCUACGGGAGGCAGCAGUGGGGAAUAUUGGACAAUGGGGCGGAAGCCUGAUCCAGCAACGCCGCGUGAGGGAUGACGGGCUUCGGGUUGUAACCUCUUUCAGUAUUGACGAAGCCCCCGUGUUGGGNUGUGACGGUAGGUACAGAAGAAGCANCGGCCAACACGUGCCAGCAGNCGNGGUNAAUACGUAGGGUGNGANNCGUUUUUCCGGAAUUAUUNGGGCGUUAAAAGGGCUC
rnacentral:rRNA from 1 species